UACAGAGGUCUCAAGCGUUAAUCGGAAUCACUGGGCUUAAAGGGUGCGUAGGCGGACCGGAACGCGUCCCGUGAAAUCCCCCGGCUCAACCGGGGAACUGCGGGGCGAACGGACGGUCUUGAGGCAUACAUGGGCGGGCGGAACUGUAGGUGGAGCGGUGAAAUGCGUAGAUAUCUACAGGAACGCCGAUGGUGAAGACGGCCCGCUGGGUAUGUCCUGACGCUGAGGCACGAAAGCGUGGGGAGCAAACAGG
rnacentral:rRNA from 1 species